rnacentral:piRNA from 1 species
UAGCCAGUCUCUCAAGCCGGAGUCCCCUC